rnacentral:rRNA from 1 species
AUAUAGCAGUGAGGAAUAUUGGUCAAUAGCCUAACGGCUGAACCAGCAACUUGGAGGAAUGUAUAGCAAUAGCUACUUGUAUCAUUAAUGAUGCAAGCUCGACUAUGUUGAAUAAAAUUCUAGGUAGAAUUAUGAUAAUGACAUUGUCUGCCUAUGUGUCUUGACCAAAUUACGUGCCAGCAGUCGCGGCAAUACGUAGAAGACUAGUGUUAUUCAUGUUUAAUCGGUUUAAAGGGUACCUAGACGGUGAAUCAAGCUUUAGAAUAAAGAAGAAAAGGGACUAAUUCGCUAGAGUUACUUACGAGGGGGCAUUAAAGUACUGCUGGUGUAGAGAUGAAAUUCUGUCAUACCUCUUUCGAAAGAAAAAUUACGGCACGGGUAUAGGCGAAGGCAUCCCCUUAUGUGAUAACUGACGUUGAAGGACGAAGGAGAUGCUUUGUGUAACAAACAGGAUUAGAUACCCUAGUAGUUGAAGCAGAAAAUGAUGAAUGUCAUAGAUUAGACGUCUAAGUUUAUUCUAUAAAUGAAAGUGUAAGCAUUCCACCUCAUGAGUAAUUUGGCAACAUUGGAAUUGAAAUCAUUAGACCGUUUCUGAAACCAGUAGUGAAGUAUGUUGUUUAAUUUGAUAAUACGCAAAAAACCUUACCACAAUUUGAAUAUUUAUAUUGUUUAUUGUUAUCUUAUUAAUUUUCUUCCUUUUUUUACUCUAUUAGUAGAUGAAAAAAAGGAACUCAAAAACAACAGGAUAAGGUAAUAAAAUUAAUCAAGAGGCAAUAACAUAUAUCUACAAGCGUUGCACGGCUGUCUUCAGUUAAUGUCGUGAGACUUUGGUUAGUUCCAUUAAAUUAACGUAAACCCUUACUUUAUUUUUUAUAUAGAGUAGUUCCCCGCUAUAUGGAUAUGAUAACAGGGACUAAGACAAGUCAUCAGGGCCUAAAUAUUG